UCAGAGUCUCUCUUCUAGCCCUGCUGUUCUAAGGUUAUUAGGUAGGCCAAUAGUUCCAAGCCUGCUGGUUAUUCGUCAGAGUAAUCUGGGAUGGGCAGUUUAAUGAGAAAGGACCGAGGUCACCCUAAAGGAAAAUCCUUUUGGCAGAUUGUACCCUUGCCCUUCUCAAAAUGCAACAUCUGUGAUUCAAAGUUGUGAUUGAUAAGAAGAAGAAAAUAAUAAUAGUAGUAAUAAUAAUACUAAUAAUAGCCAUGUGGCAUCCAGUCAAUUCUAACUUACAAAUUCUAAGGUUAUUGGUUUUCCAGGUAGAGAAGACUCAGAAGUGAUUUUUCCCCCAUUUCCUUCUUCUGGGGCAAACCUGGGGCUGUGUGCAGCUUGCCCAAGGCCACCCAGGCUGGCUCUUCUCCUCCCAGGAGGCCCAUGAGUGGAGAAUCGAACUGCCAACCUCUGGUUCCACAGCCAGAGACCUAAACCACUAAGUGAUCCAACCAGCUGAUAUUUAAACUGGGAUAUAAAGCCAAUGCAUUCUUGCAGCCUGGCGGUGGCCUGAGUGGAGAGGCAACCAGCUGGAAAUGCGGGUGUGCAUGGCAGUUCUGCAGCCCAGGGAGGUUUCAGUACUCCACGUUCCCCAAUGAUGGCAAAGAGGCACAAGAGGGGCACCAAAUCUAAUCUCACAGGCGAGGGCUGAAGGCAAGGAGGGUAAAGGCGCAGCUAGAAAGGAAGGCAGUCCGUUCUGCCUUUCUUUGAGUCGUGAAUGUGACUGGUCUCCUGCUUGUCUUCUCCGGCAGACGCGGUCCCUCCCAGUCCCUCCCUGACUCAUGGCACAUUUUGGCCCAUCUCAAGACGACUCGUGGAAGGAAGAUGCAACCAACGGCAGAGACGUCGGGAGGGUGGAGUUUUACAGUGUCAGCCUCUUCCUCUUCCAAGAUUCAAAUAAAAAGAUGCCCUGACAUGUUAGGUAAAGCUAGUUUGACAAUAUAACUCGCAUCAAGUGCUCCAGAACAAGUGUGUAUUCUCUAGCAGUUUAUGAGACUCAUAAACCUGGCAUCGAAUCCAGCCUGAACUCUCUCUGGAGGCCAAAAUUUUGAAACCGAGGCUUGUCCUACUUUGGGCCCAUCCUGAGAAGGCAAGAAGAUUCUCUGGAAAAGACCGUCACAUUGAGAAAAGUGGAAGGCAGCAAGAAAAGAGGAAGACCCAACAGGAGAUGGACUGACUCCCUCAAGGAAACCACAGGCUUGAAUCUACAAGAUCUGAGCAGGGCUAUUGAGGACAGGAUAUUUUGGAGAUUGGUCAUUCAUGGGGUUGCCAUAAUCUGGAUGCAAUUUCUCAGCCCAUAACGGUAACAACAACAGUGCAGUAAUUGUUUUACAUUUUGGAGAUGUGGAUGAGCUAACACAUCAUUUUAAGAAAUAAGCAAGAAAUAAAAUAAAUACCUAAUGAAAAAAAUCUCA
rnacentral:lncRNA from 1 species